rnacentral:rRNA from 1 species
GAUGAACGCUAGCUACAGGCUUAACACAUGCAAGUCGAGGGACCGGCGCACGGGCGAGUAACCCGUAUCCAACCUGCCCUUUACUCGGGGAUAGCCUUUCGAAAGAAAGACUAAUACCCGAUAUAAAGGAUGGGGAUGCGUUCCAUUAGGUUGUUGGUGAGGUAACGGCUCACCAAGCCUUCGACGGAUAGGGGUUCUGAGAGGAAGUUCGCCCACAUUGGAACUGAGACACGGACCAAACUCCUACGGGAGGCAGCAGAGAGGAAUAUUGGGCAAGGGGGGCUAGCCUGAACCAGCCAAGUAGCGGGAAGGAUAAAGGCUUAUGGGUCGUGAACUUCUUUUAUAGAAGAAUAGGUAUUAUAUGAAUAAGGAUCGGCUAACGCCGUGCCAGCAGCCGCGGUAAUUC